rnacentral:lncRNA from 1 species
UUUUUUUUUUGGCCACACCCACAACAUAUGAAAAUUCCUGGGUCAGGGAUCGAACCCACCCCACAGCAGCAACCUGAGCCACUGCAGUGAUAAGGCUGAAUCUUUAACCUGCUGAGCCACAUGGGAACUCCCCCUUGGAGCAUAUUUUAUUUUUUAAAUGAUUUUUUAUUUUUUUCCAUUAUAGCUAGUUUACAGUAUUCUGUCAAUUUUCUACUGUACACAAGGUGACCCAGUCACACAUACACAUAUACAUUCUUUUUUCUUACAUUAUCAUGCUCCAUCAUAAGUGACUAGAUAUAGUUCCCAGUGGCUUAAUUAAAAAUGAAAUUUAAAAGACAUCAAAACAAAAGCCUAAGAUUUUUAAAAAUGAUUACAUUAAACAAACAUACAAUUACUCUGACAAACUGCUCUAAAGUCUCUAAACACUACUCCCAAUUUCCCUUCUUUUCUAUUUUUAAGGGCCGCACCCAUGGCAUAUGGAAGUACCCAGGCUAGGAGUCAAAUUGGAGCUGUAGCCACCAGCUUACAUCACAGCCACAGCAAUACCAGAUCUGAGCCACGUCUAUGACCUUCACCACAGCUCAUGGCAAUGCAGGAUCCUUGACCCACUGAGCAAGACAGGGAUUGAACCUGCAUCCUCAUGGAUACCAGUCAGAUUCGUUUCCACUGUGCCACAACGAGAACUCCUACUCCCAGUUUCUGUACUGGGUCCAGGGCUGGUCUGCAGGUCUCACUUGGAGCCCCACUGUCUGAAUGGAAUAUAGACAGGUUAGGAGACCAUACCCUCAAAGCAGGUUUAGGAGGGCUGUCAUCUUCAUAUUUCUUCUAUCUCUAUUUAUCCCUCCCUCCAAAGGUCAAGUGCAGGGAAAAAAAAAUCCUGUUUACUUAACAUUUUUCUAUUUAAAAAAAAUUAUAGGACAAUACAUGAUUGUUAAAAUGUUUCAAACAAUAUAAAGGCAAAUAUAGAAAAGGCUGGUCAUUGGUAUUCCCUGGUGGCGAGUGGAUCUGGUGUUGUCACUCGUGACACAAGUUCAAUCCCUGGCCCAGGAAUUUCCGGGUGUCAUGGUCGUGGCCAAAAAAAAAAAAAAGAGAGAGGGAAGGUUAAGUUCAUUGCUUUCAUUGUCUCUCCCCAUUUCUUAGAUUGUUUAUUUUUCUUUCUCUGGAUGUAACAUAAACACAAAUAUAUACGUAUAUAUGCAUAUAUAAGGUAAUUUUU